GUGACAGCAGUUGAAGAUGAAUUCCUCUAUUUUUCUGCAGAAGUACUGCACAAGACAGUGGCAGGGCAUACUUCUCUUACAAAUAUGCCUGAACCCUGACCUGGAGAGAUCACCUUUAGAGAUGAGUCUCUGUGCCCAUUCAAUCCUUGACCUCC
ensembl:misc_RNA